UAUAUAUAGGUGUUUAGCACAAGAAAUUUUGAUUUUCUAGGGCGUAAUUAAAAAUUAUGAUAUAUAA
rnacentral:tRNA from 1 species